CCUACGGGAGGCAGCAGUGAGGAAUAUUGGUCAAUGGGCGAGAGCCUGAACCAGCCAAGUCGCGUGAAGGAUGACGGCCCUACGGGUUGUAAACUUCUUUUGUCCGGGAGCAAUUCAGUCCACGUGUGGGCUUAGCGAGAGUACCUGAAGAAAAAGCAUCGGCUAACUCCGUUCCAGCAGCCGCGGUAAUACGGAAGGCCCGAGCGUUAUCCGGAUUCAUUGGGCUUAAAGGGAGCGUAGGCGGGAGUUAAAGUCAGCGGUAAAAUCGCGCGGCUCAACCGCGCCCGGCAGGUGAAACUGGACGGCUUGAGUUCACAACAGGCAGGCGGAAUUCGUGGUGUAGCGGUGAAAUGCAUAGAUAUGACGAAGAACCCCGAUUGCGAAGGCAGCAUGCCGGGGUGCGACUGACGCUGAGGCUCGAAGGUGCGGGUAUCAAACAGGAUUAGAUACCCCUGUAGUC
rnacentral:rRNA from 1 species